rnacentral:rRNA from 1 species
CCUACGGGAGGCAGCAGUGGGGAAUUUUGGACAAUGGGCGCAAGCCUGAUCCAGCAAUGCCGCGUGAGUGAAGAAGGCCUUCGGGUUGUAAAGCUCUUUUGUCAGGGAAGAAACGGCUGAGGUUAAUACCUUUGGCUAAUGACGGUACCUGAAGAAUAAGCACCGGCUAACUACGUGCCAGCAGCCGCGGUAAUACGUAGGGUGCAAGCGUUAAUCGGAAUUACUGGGCGUAAAGCGUGCGCAGGCGGUUUUGUAAGUCUGACGUGAAAUCCCCGGGCUCAACCUGGGAAUUGCGUUGGAGACUGCAAGGCUGGAGUCUGGCAGAGGGGGGUAGAAUUCCACGUGUAGCAGUGAAAUGCGUAGAGAUGUGGAGGAACACCGAUGGCGAAGGCAGCCCCCUGGGUCAAGACUGACGCUCAUGCACGAAAGCGUGGGGAGCAAACAGGAUUAGAUACCCUGGUAGUCCACGCCCUAAACGAUGUCUACUAGUUGUCGGGUCUUAAUUGACUUGGUAACGCAGCUAACGCGUGAAGUAGACCGCCUGGGGAGUACGGUCGCAAGNUUAAAACUUCAAAUUGAAUUGACGGNUUGNGAGNGCGAGCGACGACGAGGAGAGG